rnacentral:piRNA from 1 species
UAACUACUCCCCCCUCAGAAUUAAGGCC